rnacentral:rRNA from 2 species
CAGGCGUGAAAGCCGGAGGCUUAACCUCCGAACUGCGUUUGAAACUGUGGUGCUUGAGUGAAGUAGAGGUAGGCGGAAUUCCCGGUGUAGCGGUGAAAUGCGUAGAGAUCGGGAGGAACACCAGUGGCGAAGGCGGCUUACUGGGCUUUAACUGACGCUGAGGCACGAAAGCAUGGGUAGCAAACAGGAUUAGAUACCCUGGUAGUCCAUGCCGUAAACGAUGAUUACUAGGUGUGGGGGGUCUGACCCCUUCCGUGCCGGAGUUAACACAAUAAGUAAUCCACCUGGGGAGUACGGCCGCAAGGUUGAAACUCAAAGGAAUUGACGGGGGCCCGCACAAGCAGUGGAGUAUGUGGUUUAAUUCGAAGCAACGCGAAGAACCUUACCAGGUCUUGACAUCCAACUAACGAAGCAGAGAUGCAUCAGGUGCCCUUCGGGGAAAGUUGAGACAGGUGGUGCAUGGUUGUCGUCAGCUCGUGUCGUGAGAUGUUGGGUU